UUUUCCUAAUUAGUUGUAAUUUUAAAUUUUAAAUGCAAUCCUAAAUUUUAAAUCAAAUCCACAAAUGCAAAACUAAACAUUAAAUCAAACCCAAAUUUAAAAGAAUUAAAACCCAAUGUAAAAUAAACCAAUCAAAGUAGAGACAACCAAUCACAAAACUCUAAAUCACAAUAAACAACCAAUCACAGUAGAAACAACCCAAUGUAAAACUCUAAAUCAGCUAUGCUGCACAUGGGAUGGAUCAAGCGAAGACAAAAGGCGAGGGACGGAGCAUAGAUUGAUCCCUCAUCUCGCCGUCGUUGCCACUGUCCGUCGCCGACAGGACUUGCAUAGAUCCAUCCCUCACCUUGCCGCCCUUGCCGCUGUCCGUCGCCGUCAGAUGAACUACACAAUGCUUGGUGCCGCCGCAGAACUUCUUCUGCAUCUUCCAUAUCAGCAAUUUUUUCUUCAAGCCUGAGAUAAAAUAUGGGCAACAACUAAACCCACAUUAGUCAUCAAGAAAUCCAGUUAUGCUCCCUCCACAUUAACAUAAAGAGGCACAUUUAUAAAUUUUAGAAAUUGUAGAACCUCUGCAUGGCAGUUUUCAACUCAAUGAUCUUUGUUUCUGCCUCUAAAGCCUGCUUUAACCGUUCUGCACUGAGCUUAUUGGUUUCCUCAUAUUUCCUCUCUGCUUCAUCAAUUUUCUUUUCUAGUGAACUGACCAUAGCCUGUGGAGAGUCAUGCAGAAUAUAUCAUUUAGUACAAGUUCAAUUUUAUCUUUUUUAUAUAUUAUCCAUUUUCCUUUUCCUUAGAUUGAUGAAUGCACUUACUUCUGAAGCCUUUUAUCAGCAUUUUGAACCCAAGGUCCGUUUAAAAGCAAAAAAUUGUAAAAAUGUCAUUCAGAAAAUAUUCAUUUAGUACAAGAUAAAUUUUGCCUUUUUCAUAUUUUAUCCAUUUACCCUUUUCUUAAAUAGAUGAAUGCACUUAUUUCUGAAGCCUUGUAUCAGCAUUUAAAACCAAAGCUCCAUUAAAUCAACAUAUGUAAAAUCUUACCUUGAGCAUCUCAUUUUCAGCAGUAAGUUUAUUCACUAAUUCAUGGUCAACAACUGAGACCUCAGCAGUAAGUUUAUUCGCUAAUUCAUUGUCAACAACUGAGACCUCCUGUGUUAUAGGAACUUGUCCAGUCUCUUUCUUUGCAGCCUCACAUUCCUUAAUAAGCUGGGCUUUAGUUUCUUGGAAUUCAAGUUGCAUCUCUUGCAAAGCAGAAUGCAAUUUAGCAUUUUCCUGUGUUUUGGCUUCCUCAAGGUCAGCCCUCAUUCUUUUCUCCUGCUCCAAACACCAGGUAAGUUCUUCAACUUGCUUUUCCAGCUUAGUUUUGGCCUCUUGAAGGGCACCUGUCUCUUUAGCAGCCAUUUUAAGUUUCCGUAGUUCUCUGCACGCAACUUCUCCUCUACAGGCACAUUGCAUGGUAAUUGCUGCUUUCUUUAAACUCAAAUAGUGAAGGGAGGCCAAGUAUUUUCGGCACUGACUUUGGAUCAUAAUUGCAGCUCUUGUCUGCCUCCUGAACUGAAGCUCAUUACAAGCAGCCAUUCUACGCAUAGCUGCCUGAAUAGAAACAGCUGAAGAGCACAGCCUGUUGUAAGCUUUCCUUGCAAGAUGCCUCCGAGCAUGUUUCUGGAUUUUCAGAGAUGCAGCUUCUCUUCUUAGGCACUCGUACAGAUGGCGUGCUAAUUGACCUCUGCAUACAGUUUGGAUAUCAAUGGCAGACUGUCGCAAUAAGAGAAAGCUUUUGCGGCAAAAAUAUGUACGAACUUUCCUCUGAAUGAUCCUAGCCGAUCUUCCUAACACCUCACUUCGACGAGCAUCUAGUUCUGCCAUUUGACCAGCCCUGAGAAACACCUUUGUUUUGCCAAUCUGAUAACCUUGAAGGUUUGCUUUCUCCAAAAGCCUCUUGCAAGCAGUAGGUCCAUCACAGCUCCCAUUGAGAACAUCUGGUCCCAGAAUGCUAAAACGAGCUUUAAAUUCAUCGAACAUCUUCCGAGUUGGAUAUCCUGCACAACUAAUCCUAAUAGCCUCCAUGACUCCCUGGAAUCAAAUGCAUAUUAAAUCCACUGCACAUCAAUGGGGCAAACUUACUGAAUUCAACAUCAAGAAAGGUGAAAUGACCAAUUCUCAAAUCUCACCCCACAACGUAAUUGCUGUAAAACAUUACUAUUCUCAAAUAUGGCUGGCUUUAGAACAUUAUUUGGCUUUACACAACGAAUGUAGUGUGGCUCAGUGGCACUCAGUGUUUCAAGCAAAGCUUGUAGUUGUUGCUGUAAGAAGACAAGAAUUAAGACUAUGGUAUGUAAAAGAAGCUAGUUGUGUGCAUCAAACUUAUGGACAGCUGGAUAAGCAGACCUUAAACCGAGAACCUAUUGAUGAAAACUUUGAUGAUUUUGCAGAAUCCUCAGGUAAUGGUGGGAACAGGCCUGAGACAAAGGUGCAUUUGGACUCUCUAAGGAGAGCUUGGUGCUCUGCAACAACAUAAUCUUUGUUCUUAUCCAGAAAGUGUUCAGUUUGGUAUGUUACAUCACCAGCAUAAUGAGAAAUAGUGAAGUCACUACGUGCCAACUUAGGCUUGCUUAAGCGCUUGUGAUCUUUAAAAGUCUGAUAAAGCUUCUGUGCA
rnacentral:misc_RNA from 1 species